rnacentral:rRNA from 1 species
UAGAUACCCUAUUAUUCUAUAACCUACAAUAACUCCAGAAUAAUACGAACUUCUGUUUAAAAUUCAAAGAACUUGGCGGUGUCUAAUAAAAACAGGGGAACCUGUCCUUUAAUUCGAUAAUCCACGCCACCACUACCUCUUCUCACAAAGCCUGUGUACUGCCGUCGUCAGCUUACCUCUAAAAGAGUAUGCAACAUAUAUAAUACCUCUAUUUUACGUCAGGUCAAAGUGCAGCUAAUGGAGAGGAAGAGAUGGGUUACAAUCUUCAUAAAGAAACGAACUUUCUAAUAAACAAGAAAUAAAGGUGGACUUGUAAGUAAUUAGACUUAUACUCUCAUGAAAAUGAAUCUAAGACAUGCACACAUCGCCCGUCACUCUCGCUUCAAAGUGAGAUAAGUC